CAAUAUAAGUGAUGGCGACCGGCGCACGGGUGAGUAACACGUAUCCAACCUACCGAUAACUCGGGGAUAGCCUUUCGAAAGAAAGAUUAAUACCCGAUGGUAUAAUAAAACCGCAUGGUUUAAUUAUUAAAGAAUUUCGGUUAUCGAUGGGGAUGCGUUCCAUUAGGCAGUUGGUGAGGUAACGGCUCACCAAACCUUCGAUGGAUAGGGGUUCUGAGAGGAAGGUCCCCCACAUUGGAACUGAGACACGGUCCAA
rnacentral:rRNA from 1 species